rnacentral:rRNA from 1 species
AGUGAACGCUGGCGGUAGGCCUAACACAUGCAAGUCGAACGGCAGCACAGUAAGAGCUUGCUCUUACGGGUGGCGAGUGGCGGACGGGUGAGGAAUACAUCGGAAUCUACUUUUUCGUGGGGGAUAACGUAGGGAAACUUACGCUAAUACCGCAUACGACCUACGGGUGAAAGCAUGGGAUCUUCGGACCUUGCGCGAUUGAAUGAGCCGAUGUCGGAUUAGCUAGUUGGCGGGGUAAAGGCCCACCAAGGCGACGAUCCGUAGCUGGUCUGAGAGGAUGAUCAGCCACACUGGAACUGAGACACGGUCCAGACUCCUACGGGAGGCAGCAGUGGGGAAUAUUGGACAAAGGGCGCAAGCCUGAUCCAGCCAUACCGCGUGGGUGAAGAAGGCCUUCGGGUUGUAAAGCCCUUUUGUUGGGAAAGAAAAGCAGCAGGUUAAUACCCCGCUGUUCUGACGGUACCCAAAGAAUAAGCACCGACUAACUUCGUG